rnacentral:rRNA from 1 species
AUGGAGGAUCUUCCGGAGGUACUGCUGGCAGAAAUCGUCCAGAGGAUUACCAGGACAAGUGAUCUGAAUUCUCUUUCCCUUGUGUCAAAAAGUCUGUGCGAGGUUGAGGCGAAUCAAAGGGCCGCUAUCCGCUUAGGAUGCAGCUUGUUUUCUGCUACAGAAACCUUGUCAUCGCUUUGUUCCCGAUUCUCCAAUUUGUCAAAAAUGGAAAUCAAUUACACCGGUGAAACCUUGAGCUUCUUCUCAUACAUUGAUGAUUCUGGUCUUAGUUGUCUAGCCAAUUGUAAGAAGUUGAUGUCCCUCACACUAAACUCUGUACCAAGCAUAACUUCAAGGGGACUUCUCUCGGUGGCAAUUGGCUGCAACAGUUUAUCUGCUCUCCACCUUAUUGAUUGCAAGAAAAUAAGCAGCGGAGAGUGGCUAGAGUACCUUGGCUGGAAUGGAUCACUGGAAGAACUUGUGGUAAGGAAUUGCAACAGAAUCAGGCAGCCUGACCUACUAAAGUUUGGUCCAGGAUGGAUGAAGCUUUGGAAGUUUGAGUUUGAGAGCAAGGUAGAAAUAGAUGAUAUGCUUGGGUUUAAUGAUCCCUUAUAUGAUGUGCACAACCCGAGUGCAUGUGAUUUCCUCUGUGACAAUUUGAAGGAUUUGAGGUUGGUGCAUAUUCAAGCAAGGUCAGAGCUGAGACUUUGUCUUCUCUUGGAGAAAUGCAAAGCAUUGGAGAAGCUAUGCCUUAAGUAUGUUGUAAGUCUAACCGACAAUGACAUGAUUGCGCUAUCCCACAGCUGCAACAAUCUUAAAAGUAUUUCACUAUGGCUCAUGCCUCCUCAGUACGUUGCUGAUGACAAUGAUUUUCUUUACAUACCAUCGGUUACUGAUCACAGUCUUCAGGUUUUAGCUCUCGGUUGUCCUAUGCUUCAGAGCGUUGAACUUACAUUUCAUGAGGGCACAUUCUACUUGCCAGAUAUAGGCUUAACACUAGAGUGUGUUAGGAUUCUCAUUCAGUCUUGUCAGAUUCGUGUUCUUGUGCUUAAUGGAGCUGACUUCUUUGAUGAUGAAGGAAUGAUGGUACUUUCAUCCUCACCAUUCCUGGAGACACUCGAGCUUGCGGUGAACGAUCAGUCAGGUGACUGA